rnacentral:lncRNA from 1 species
AGGGGCUCCCUGAGCUACGCUGCAGCCUGAGCGCCUGGGGCAGCACGAAGCAGCAGCUCGUGCCGUGCACUCUCCCCUCCAAGACCGCUAGGGCCUCUGCCCCGGAGCCCAGCAACUCUCGGCCGUAGUCCACGCACGCAUCUCCCAAGACCCCUUUGCCUCACCUGCGCCUGCCACGCCCCGUCCUGCCGCCGGGAUGAGCGAGAGCAGAGUCCACACCUUUGAGCUGCAGGGAAAACAAGAGCAUUCGCUUAGGAACUGGCACCUACUGGCAAGUGAGGGAAUGGAACAUUGGAAUACAUCAGGCCCAGAGGAGGGAGUGGAUGAAAGGAAUACAAGAAGCUUAACACCAAAACACCUCCAGCAACCAGCCAGGCCUCUGACCCUGAGGAAAAAGGGAAACCUGGCAGCAUUAAGAAGGCCGAGGAGGAGGAAGAAAUUGACAUCGACUUGACGGCACCAGAGACAGAGAAGGCCGCCCUUGCAAUCCAGGGCAAGUUCCGGCGCUUCCAGAAGAGGAAAAAGGAUUCCAGUUCCUGAAUAACCAGACUUCCCCUUCACCCUUCUACUUCCUCUGUCCCCUCCACAGCUCUGACUCUCACGUGUCUCAUCCCCUCA